rnacentral:misc_RNA from 1 species
AAAAAAUUUAAAAAAAAAACACAUACAUAAAAAUCCACACACGGGAUUGGCUGUGACUCACAAUCACGUCACCGCCCAGUAACCCUAGUAUCAUAGAAAAUUUUCUAAUCCACUCCUUGUUCACCUUAGAGACCUAAGACGCUGAGGACAAACGGCGGAGCACCACCUCUUCCUCCGUCGCAGCGGCGGCGGCCUCCUUCCAGCAUUGCAUCAGCACCGCCUUGCACGGCGGGGGCUCGACGCACCUUUUUCUAUCCACGGUGUACGUACGGUAAACUAGCAACUCGCCACCUAGCAUCUCCUGCUUCACCACGUUGUCACACGUGUACCCCUCCACGUCAGCAUGAUCUACAGCCCACGA